rnacentral:misc_RNA from 1 species
GAGGAAAAGAAAGACCGUUGAUUGAAAGAAAAAAAGAAAAAAAAAAAAGAAAAACGCACAGAACAGAACGAUUAACCAUUAAACGUUGUUACAUUUCAACGAAGAAGAGACAAAAACGGAAAGCACAAAAAUAAAAGAGAGAGAGAGAGAGAGAGAGAUAAAAAUAAAUAGGGACAUUCGUUGAAAAAAGAAGAAGAAGGUGAAUCGGUUGAAUCGAAAGGUGGCGCGAAGAAAGAAAGGAAGAAGGAUCACACAAGGUGGUAUAAGAGAAUAACGAGAAUAGAAUGGGCAAUAAGUUGUCUUGCAGUUGUGCUCCUCUUAUCAGAAAGGCUUAUCGUUACGAGGAUUCACCAUGGCAGGCUGGCGCGAGGGGCGGAAUGGGCGGCAGCGGAGCACGAAGGGGUGACACUGGCNACUUGCUCAGGUGCGGAAGCUUAAGAGAAAGGAAGAGACUGUGGGCCGAAGUGUUCCAUGUAAGCGCAAGCGGGGCUGGAACUGUGAAAUGGCAGCAGGUUUCCGAGGAUUUAGUUCCUGUAAAUAUCACGUGCAUUCAAGAUUCGCCAGAAUGUAUUUUCCAUAUUACCGCGUACAACAGUCAGGUGGACAAAAUUUUGGACGUACGAUUGGUACAACCAGGUACACGGAUUGGACAAGCGUCAGAGUGUUUCGUUUAUUGGAAAGACACGAUGACCAACGACACAUGGGGAUUAAAUUUUACCUCUCCGAUAGACGCUAAACAAUUCAGAGAAUGUUGCUCACCGUCGUUCAAGAUUUCAAGGAAAGCGUCCUCUUCUUACUCGUUGAAGCUCGAACCGCCUAACAAACAAAAGAUCAAGACACGGAGAAAGCCUUUAUCGACACCGGCAUCACCGAGCAGAUCCAGGGAGCCCCAAUGCACUUGUAUGACACCGGAACAACUCGCCAGAUUUCGAAGCCAAGAAGCCAGAUACCGAGGUUUUUGCACUACCUCUACGCUUCCACGGACGAUGGCGCGAUCGACCGAGGUGGAGAUGACGCCGGGUCGUGAUAAAAUAACAGCGGCAACGUCCAGUGCCUCCCUCUACGACAACGUUAACAAUGCGAACGUGACGCCGGGGAAAACGGCGAAAGCAGGGGAAUCGAAGCAAAAGGAGAAACAGAACGAGACAUGUCAGACAACGCCAAAGACGGCGAACGUAGGCAUCGAAACUGUAACCGUUGGCUCGCAAAUCGAUAGCCCGGAAGAGAAAGGCGCUGCGAUAUCACCGAAAAAAGGUCAAAAGCAAAGUCAAGACUCGUCUACUCAACAAAAUGGUAGCGAGAUGCUCAAAUCAGAAGGUACACAAGCAGGUGGCACAUUACAAAAUAAGUCGUUGCGAAAAGAGCAAUUACAUCAUACGAAGUCUGCCGAUUACACAGAUUUGGAGAUGCAAAACGGCAAUAUUUUCAACAUAGUGAACAAUAAUCACAGUGGGAAGAAAUCGAAAAGCAAGAGUACGGACGAUAUGAGAAUCGAGAAUGCGCAAAACGGUGGGAUUAGUUUAGAUUCGAACACGUUGAAACGUAUGCUGAAACCCAUGCCGAGUAUCGAUAGCCCGGUCACGUCCCCAGAGAUGACGAGAAAAAGGCAUAGCCAUCAUAAUUAUCAUUAUCAUCCGAGCAAUAACAAUCAGAAGUACAUCAUGCAAGAGACUGAAAACGAAAAUUGCGCCCAUCUGUAUCGACCAACGUAUAAUAACAAGUUCCAGACGACUAGAAGCGUGCAUGACAUGGGACGUCAAUACGCCGGCGGGAGAGCCAGGACCUAUUUAGAUUCGGAACGUAAUCGAUGCACAGGUGAUAUGUCGCCGCCAUCGGAUAAUGUCAUCUUCGAUAAUCAGUGUUACGCGACCACGCCGAGUUCCUCCAAUGGAAACUCGGACAUGGAGCAACCGACGCACUGCAAUUCCCGUCGUUGCAACGGUAGCCAGGCUUAUCAACAGCAGAACAUGCAAUCGGUGUCGACCCCCGGAAGCCCUACCAGCAGGCUAUUGCUCGAGUACGAGAUGCAUCUGAGGAACACACUUGCCAAGGGUAUGGACGCUGAGAGUUACAGUUUACGCACUUUCGAGGCGUUGCUCACUCAAAGCAUGGAGGAUUUAGAAUUCGCGAAAAAUAUACCGUUGAACACUCAACGUACGCCUCACGUUUCACGAAGACGUUCAAGUUCCAAUAAAUCGUCGACGUUACCGUUGUCGUAUCGUUACGAAAGGCAGAAUAGCAAGGACAGGGACGGUUAUUACAGCGAUCGUAACGAAAUGAUCAGGGAGAAGAGGGACAGGGAAAUCGAUCGGGAUCGCGGAUACCUCAGCGAUUAUAAUUCGAGAUGCACCAGCUGCGUAGGGGAGUCCGCACGCGCGCAAUGGUUUCGACAUUCGGACGGAUGGCAAUCCGGCAGUUCGACCCUCGGCUCCGGCGCCUCAAGCUCGAUAAAUCCGAGCUACACGGGCCACAAACGGGACUCCCCCUGGGAUUCUUUGCCAUCGUUGAGACACGAGGGCAGCCUUAACGACAGCGGAUACAAAUCGAAUCGGACGGAUUCUUUGGAGCAAAGAGGCACUUUCGAUAGACAGGACAGCGUGAGAUCGGAUUAUAUGUCCGAUCGGGAUGGCAGAUACGGAAUUGUUCAACAAGCUUCCCUGGAGAGCACAGACUCGAGAAUUUGCUACUUGACGUCCUCAGAGAUGUCAGACGACGAUAAAAUGUCCCUAACUACCGCGGUUAGCGACGACGACGACGGGGAGAGCGUGAUAAAUUCGCCCUAUCGAGGGAAACAGACUGGUACAGCCGCUGCGUCGUUCAAUUGUACGGGGGCGGUACGAAAAGCUGGAUUUCUAAGCGUGAAGAAAUGGCUGUUACGAAAGAAGCAUCAGAUCGAGCUAGCGAGGAAGAGGGGUUGGAAAGGUUACUGGGUUUGCCUGAAGGGGACCACGCUCCUCUUCUAUCCUUGCGAAUCCCAAGAAAGUAGAACCAUGGAGGCGGCGCCCAAGCAUUUGAUCAUAGUCGAUGGCGCGAUAAUGCAACCGAUCCCGGAACAUCCGAAGAGGGACUACAUAUUUUGCUUGAGCACCGCUUUCGGCGAUGCUUAUUUAUUUCAGGCUCCGUGUCAAGUGGAACUCGAGAACUGGGUGAAUAGUAUACAUUCGGCUUGUGCAGCCGCGUUUGCGCGUCAUCGUGGUAAAACUGGAACCCUUCAUUUAUUGCAGGAAGAAAUAUUUCGCUUAGAGAAAGCGAUAGAAUCGGACCACAAAUUGAAACACAUGGCUGAUCUUCAGCAAUCCGUCGUGUCUGACGUGGAGACGAAACAGCAGAUCAACAAUCAGAUUGUUCAGUGGGAAGAAAAUUUGGAGAGACUUCAUUGCGAACAAUUCCGACUCAGAUGUUACAUGGCCAGUUUACAAAGUGGCGAAUUACCAAAUCCAAAGAGUUUAUUGACGCACGUAUCCCGCGCCACGAAGCAGACGUUGAACAAAUUAGGAGUUUUCACCGUGUCGUCGUUUCACGCUUUCAUAUGCGCGCGGAGCCCUUCCCUGUUGAACAAUCUGUUGGCGGGACGAGGGGCUACCAAGAGAAGGCCGCCAUUGUUGUCGAGAUCCAACAGCGGAUCGNNCAGGAGAUCCCUUCAAAUUUCGUCCAGAGAUGAUGAGAAGACGGUGAAGGUUUUCGUGCCGGAAAAUCAGCUGGUAUCCGUAUUUGUGCGCGAUGCUAUGACAGUGGAAGAAUUCCUCGCAAGCGCUUGCAAUAGAAAGAACCUUAAUCCGAUGGAACAUUUCGUUCGCGUGAAAAAACGCCGCGACAUGGAAGAUCAUAAUUAUUUCGUACCACAUAGAACCGACUUGAUAGAAACAUACUUGCACACGCACGAAGUGGUCGAGGUAUGCGCGAAGAUCCUGUAUCAAGUGGAGUUGCAAAGGAACACCCUUGAACAAAUGUGGGGAUUCUCGGUGGAGGCGGAGUUGAUCGAGAAUUCCGAUCGACAGGACGAGCUGUGCUGUUACGUCAGCAGGGUCGAGGAUAAGAGCGUAGCAAUGCAGAAUGGUAUCAUUAAAGGUGACGAAAUCAUGGUGAUCAACGGCGCGAUAGUGAGCGACCUGGACAUGAUGUACCUGGAAAGCGUGUUGCAAGAGGAGGUCGGUUUGUGCAUGAUGAUGAGAUCCUCGAGGACCGAGCCCCCGGAUCUUACGGGGAUAAUGAGAGUGACCGACGACAUAAUCGAGAGUUUGGUUUGCCCACCGCCACCCUCCGACCCGCCUGUUAUAAGCGAAGAAAUGAUCUCUGGGUUAAUCGUUCCGGCUCCUGGAUGGAGCAAAGAAAGUAUUAUGCAGGAGUGCACGACGACAUCUCACAUGGAGAAUGGCAAACAAACGUCUCGGACGAAUUCGUUCGAGAUAGAGAAUUUGUUAAAAACGGCGGAACAAGUGACGGGGAUCUGUCGAUCGCCUGGUGAAACGCGAAAGUCGAGCCCAACCGGAAGCGUUGUUAGUUCUCAUUCCCAAGCUCUGACGCCGAGCAGGCAGCUGAGCGAUGCUGAGAAACUGAAGAAAGUUAUUCUAGAAUUAAUUGAGACUGAACGUACUUACGUGAAGAAUUUAAAUAAUUUGUUGGAGAACUACUUAGAGCCCCUUAAACGCGAAACCUUCCUAUCGAAUGCAGAGAUAAACGCAUUGUUCGGGAACAUACAAGAGAUUGUUACGUUUCAACGGCAAUUUCUACAAAAUCUUGAUCACGCGAUCGAGAUGGAAGCUGAUUUCAAUAAUUUCGAUCAUCCUAGUCAAUUUAAGGGUGUCCUGUUUUCCAUUGGAAGUGCCUUCUUGUAUUACGUAAAUCAUUUCAAGUUGUACAGUUCGUUUUGUGCUAGCCACUCAAAGGCGCAAAAGGUUUUACAUCCAAAUGAAGGAAACCAAGCUUUACAAGAGUUCCUGCAAGCGCGAAAUCCAAGGCAGCAACACUCGUCGACGUUAGAAUCGUACUUGAUUAAACCUAUUCAACGAAUAUUGAAAUAUCCUUUGCUCUUGCAACAACUUCGAAAUCUCACCGACGAAAGGAGCGAAGAACACCAACACUUGAUCGAGGCUUUGAAAGGUAUGGAAAAAGUAGCAGAGCAUAUAAACGAGAUGCAAAGAAUUCACGAAGAAUACGGAGCCAUUUUCGAUCACUUGUUUAGGCAACAUCAAAAAUCUUGCAAGCAGCCGAUAGAUUUAAGCCCAGGAGAUCUUUUGUAUUAUGGAGGUGUCGAGUGGCUCAAUAUUUCCGACUUUCUUGGUAAAAUCAAGAAAGGUCUGGAAUUACACGCGAUGUGUUUCGUUUUCAAAUCUGCCGUCGUAUUCCUGUGCAAGGAAAGAUUGAGACAGAAGAAGAAACUUAUGGGAGUAUCGACAAAAGCGAACUCCAGCGAAGUGGAGAUAAUACGUUAUCAAGUGUUGAUUCCUGUAACGGAAGUGCAAGUUAGAGCCAGCUCCGCCAAAGACAUGGAAUCUCAUUUCUUGUGGGAAUUGAUCCAUUUAAGAAGUCAAUUACAGAGAAGAUCGGAGAAAGUAUAUGUGCUUUCCAACAGCACAACGGAAUUCAGGAACGCGUUUUUGAGGACGAUACGUCAAAUUAUUCGAGAAUCGGUCCGGAACAUGAGCAUACCGUCGACGAAACAAAAUCUUAGCCAACCACCGAUCAGCAUUUCCCCACGAAUGUCGACCGGCCAUGUGGAGAAAUUCGAGAAACAGUCGGCUGGAACGAGCCAGGUGGGGCAAAAUGGUGGCAACGGUGGCAGUGGGGCGGCCACGUUGUCCAAGAAGAAACAGCAAUUGUUGACAACGUCGCACAACGUGAAGCGAAAAUACAGCCAAUCGAAACAGGCUGUGGAGCACGAGAGCUCCGAGGAUAAGGACAACGAGGAGGCAGGGGCCUCGGCCAUUAACCAACAGCAAACGACAUUUCGCUCCCGGAGCAAGACCAUAAGCGACACAUCCGUCGACGCGUUAAACGUGCACAGGGGAGAUAAAGGUCGAGAUGGACUCGGGGACGAAAUCGGAGGGUGAGGAAGACUCGCAAGCUUUUUUAGGAAGUACGGGUAGUCAGGCGAGACUGAUCCAAUCUUCUCAUCAACCGGAAAAUUAUCAACCGAUCACGGUCAAGGAACUUGGUUCGCCGAUUUGGAAACCGCGGGAAUUACCCUCGUUAGGUGAGUCCACGACGUUGCCACGUAAGGGUAAGUCGGCGAGCGAGUUUGGGGAUAUAAGCUCGUCUCAUAGCGCCUCCCGAAAGUCUCUCAUAGAAAUCAAUAAUUGUGCUCAACAAUCUAACUGUAAUAACCACGUUUAAAUUAAAAGAAAGGAAAGAGAAAAAAAAGAGAAAAAAAAUAAAUGUUAACUGAUUGACAAACCAUCAAGGUUAAGUUUAAAAAGAGGGGGAAAAAAAAAGAAAAAAAAAAAAAAAAAAAAAA